rnacentral:lncRNA from 13 species
GGUUUCUCUCUGGGCCCAGCCUCCCCACACCGGGCUCCUGCCUGUGCUAGGCCCUCGGGCCCAGCCUCCGCCUCUCAGAGGACCCUUCAGACUCCACUUCUGCCUUUGUGGCAGCCUGUUUCCACGGGCUCAGACCCCUGCCUCUUCAUGGCCCCCUGGGGCCAAGCCAGUGCCUCCCACUGGGCCCUGACGGGCCCAGCGUUGGCCUUCUGGCAUCCUCUUUGUGUCCAGAACAUCUUCAGGUCGGCCUCUCUGGGCCCAGCGCCUCCUCUCAGCAGCAUCUACAGGCCCGACAUGCGAAUUUUUCUUGAAGCAACCUCUGUGGACUUGGCUCCUGCACAGCUCCCGAUGGCCUUUGUAGGCCCAAAAGCUCAGACUACCGACUCAGGCUCUCCAGGCCCACCCAGCUCAUGCAUCAUUAGUGGCCUCUCUGAGCUCAGCUCCUGCCCUCCCAGGGCAUCUCCAGGCCCCAGACAUUCCCAAGUCGGCUUCUGCCAGCCCGGCUCCUGUUGCCUCCUCCUGCUGGCCAUGGGAUGCCCAUUAUUAGGUCCUGAAUUCAGCCUCUCCAGGCCCAGCUCCUGCCCUCCUGGCGUCUCCUCCUCAUGGGCGCAAAACUUCAUCAGGUGGGUUCCUCCAAGUCAAGCUUCUGCCUCCCAAAGGCCCCGUGGGCCCAGCCUCUGCCACCUGUCAGCCUCUUCGGGAGGUCCAGCGUAUGCCUCCUCUCUGGGGGACUCCCCAGAUCCAGAUCCUCCUCCUGGCCCUGUCUACCGGCCCGUCCUGCCUUCUGGCAGCUUUUUUUGGCUCGGCCCCUGGCCAGCUUUCUGUGGCCUUUCAUCUGUCAGCCAAAGUGUUCUCAAGUGGGGCUUUCCAGGCUGCCAUUCUGCCUCCUGGUGGUCUUGACAGACCCCGCUACCGCCUGAUGUUGGCUGCUCCAGGCCAGCUCUGGACUUCCCGCAGCCUCCCCAGCCCCAGUUGCUGCCUGCUGGUGGCUUCCCCAGGCCGAG